CCUACGGGUGGCAGCAGUGAGGAAUAUUGGUCAAUGGACGAGAGUCUGAACCAGCCAAGUAGCGUGAAGGAUGACUGCCCUAUGGGUUGUAAACUUCUUUUAUAUGGGAAUAAAAUGUUCCACGUGUGGGAUUUUGUAUGUACCAUAUGAAUAAGGAUCGGCUAACUCCGUGCCAGCAGCCGCGGUAAUCCGGAGGAUCCGAGCGUUAUCCGGAUUUAUUGGGUUUAAAGGGAGCGUAGAUGGGUUGUUAAGUCAGUUGUGAAAGUUUGCGGCUCAACCGUAAAAUUGCAAUUGAUACUGGCAGCCUAGAGUACAGUUGAGGUAGGCGGAAUUCGUGGUGUAGCGGUGAAAUGCUUAGAUAUCACGAAGAACUCCGAUUGCGAAGGCAGCCUACUAAACUGCCACUGACAUUGAUGCUCGAAAGUGUGGGUAUCAAACAGGAUUAGAUACCCCGGUAGUC
rnacentral:rRNA from 1 species